AAACCACGAUAAUGAAUUACAAACAUUAUCCGCCCGGGGACUACGAGCGUAANNUUGAAACCCAAAGGACUUGGCGGUGCUUUAGACCCCUAGAGGAGCCUGUUCUAGAACCGAUGAUCCCCGUUCAACCUCACCUUUUCUUGCUCUUCCCGCCUGUAUACCUCCGUCGUCAGCUAACCCGUGAAGGCCAAACAGUACGCAAGAUCGGCUUUUCCCCAAAACGUCAGGUCAAGGUGCAGCGAAUGAAAAGGGUGCAAUGGGCUACAUUCCCUAACAAAGUGUAUACGGACGGCAGAUUGAAAUAUUUGCCCGAAGGAGGAUUUAGUAGUAAGCACAAAGUAGAGCGUUGU
rnacentral:rRNA from 1 species